UAUAAACCCGUUAUACCGUGAACUGCGAAUGGCUCAUUAAAUCAGUUAUCGUUUAUUUGAUAAUACCUUACUACUUGGAUAACCGUGGUAAUUCUAGAGCUAAUACAUGCUGAAAAUCCCGACUUCGGAAGGGAUGUGUUUAUUAGAUAAAAAACCAAUGCCCUUCGGGGCUUUUUGGUGAUUCAUGAUAACUUUACGGAUCGCAUAGCCUUGCGCUGGCGACGGUUCAUUCAAAUUUCUGCCCUAUCAACUUUCGAUGGUAAGGUAUUGGCUUACCAUGGUUUCAACGGGUAACGGGGAAUUAGGGUUCGAUUCCGGAGAGGGAGCCUGAGAAACGGCUACCACAUCCAAGGAAGGCAGCAGGCGCGCAAAUUACCCAAUCCCGACACGGGGAGGUAGUGACAAUAAAUACUGAUACAGGGCUCUUUUGGGUCUUGUAAUUGGAAUGAGUACAAUUUAAACCUCUUAACGAGGAACAAUUGGAGGGCAAGUCUGGUGCCAGCAGCCGCGGUAAUUCCAGCUCCAAUAGCGUAUAUUAAAGUUGUUGCAGUUAAAAAGCUCGUAGUUGAAACUUGGGUCUGGCUGGCGGGUCCGCCUCACCGCGUGCACUCGUCCGGCCGGGCCUUCCUUCUGAAGAACCUCAUGCCCUUCACUGGGCGUGUUGGGGAAUCAGGACUUUUUACUUUGAAAAAAUUAGAGUGUUCAAAGCAGGCCUUUGCUCGAAUACGUUUAGCAUGGAAUAAUAAAAUAGGGGCGUGCGUUUCUAUUUUGUUGCUUCCACAGACCCCGCAAUGA
rnacentral:rRNA from 1 species